UGGGGAAUAUUGCACAAUGGGGGAAACCCUGAUGCAGCAACGCCGCGUGAAGGAUGAAGGUUUUCGGAUCGUAAACUUCUAUCAACAGGGACGAAACAAAUGACGGUACCUGAAUAAGAAGCCCCGGCUAACUACGUGCCAGCAGCCGCGGUAAUACGUAGGGGGCAAGCGUUAUCCGGAAUUACUGGGUGUAAAGGGAGCGUAGGCGGCACGUCAAGCCAGAUGUGAAAGCCCGGGGCUUAACCCCGUGGAUUGCAUUUGGAACUGGCGAGCUAGAGUACAGGAGAGGAAAGCGGAAUUCCUAGUGUAGCGGUGAAAUUCGUAGAUAUUAGGAAGAACACCAGUGGCGAAGGCGGCUUUCUGGACUGAAACUGACGCUGAGGCUCGAAAGCGUGGGGAGCAAACAGGAUUAGAUACC
rnacentral:rRNA from 1 species